UAAGCGGAGGAAAAGAAACUAACAAGGAUUCCCCUAGUAACUGCGAGUGAAGAGGGAAAAGCUCAAAUUUAGAAUCUGGCAGUCUUUGAUUGUCCGAGUUGUAAUUUAGAGAAGUGUUACCCGUGCUGGCCCGUGUAUAAGUCUCCUGGGAUGGAGCGUCAUAGAGGGUGAGAAUCCCGUCUUUGACACGGACUCCAGUACAUUGUGGUGCGCUCUCGAAGAGUCGAGUUGUUUGGGAAUGCAGCUCUAAAUGGGUGGUAAAUUCCAUCUAAAGCUAAAUAUUGGGGAGAGACCGAUAGCGAACAAGUACCGUGAGGGAAAGAUGAAAAGAACUUUGGAAAGAGAGUUAAACAGUACGUGAAAUUGCUGAAAGGGAAACGCUUGAAGUCAGUCGCGUUAGUUGGGGAUCAGCCUUCCUUUUGGUUGGUGUACUUCCCAGUUGACGGGUCAGCAUCAGUUUUGACCAGUGGAUAAAAGCUUGAGGAAUGUGGCAUCUUCGGGUGUGUUAUAGCCUCUUGUUGUAUACAUUGGUUGGGACUGAGGAACUCAGCACGCCGCAAGGCCGGGUUUUUAACCACGUUCGUGCUUAGGAUGCUGGCAUAAUGGCUUUAAUCGACCCGUCUUGAAAACAC
rnacentral:rRNA from 1 species